rnacentral:rRNA from 1 species
UUGACGGGGGCCCGCACAAGCAGCGGAGCGUGUGGUUUAAUUCGAUGAUACACGAAGAACCUUACCCAGGCUUGACAUGUUGGUAGUAGGGAUCCGAAAGGUGACCGACCCUUCGGGGAGCCUUCACAGGUGCUGCAUGGCUGUCGUCAGCUCGUGUCGUGAGAUGUCCGGUUAAGUCCGGUAACGAGCGCAACCCUCGCUGUGUGUUAUAUGUGUCACACGGGACUGCCGGUAUCAAGCCGGAGGAAGGUGGGGAUGACGUCAAGUCAGCAUGGCCUUUAUAUCCUGGGCUACACACACGCUACAAUGGCCAACACAAUAGGUUGCUAAGCCGCGAGGUGGCGCCAAUCCAUAAAGUUGGUCUCAGUUCAGAUUGUAGGCUGCAACCCGCCUGCAUGAAGAUGGAGUUGCUAGUAACCGCAGGUCAGCUAUACUGCGGUGAAUACGUUCCCGGGGCUU